UUAGGCUAAAAAAAUGUUCGCAGAUUUGGGCCGAACCAACUCUGCUGCAAAUAUGCUCGUCUAAGGGUCGGCGGUGACAUAGAAGAUGAUGCUCGCCGGAAAAUGGAGGAAGCGAACGCCGGCGAUGCCGAUAUCUAAAAGGGAUUUGACCCCUUCCACGCACCUCCUCCCACAUGUCGCGCUGAAGUUUGAACCGACGUCUCCGCUUCUCCUUCUCCCCCAUAUACCAGCUCUUCACGCCCCCAAGGUUCAUGCUCGUCUACAAGAAUGAAUCCGAGGUCCAUGUGCCAGUCGAGUCCUCCGCUGCCAUAGGAAUGAAGAAACCUUAAAAGAAAGCUUCAGUAGCAUGCUAAACUCGCAUGCUUCCACACUGGUGCUUUUGCUCGCAUUGAUCAAAGCUGCUGCUACUGCCUAUGGAAGUAAUGGUUGUAUUGAGAGGGAGAGCACGGUCCUUCUCGCCUUUAAAUCAAGCAUUAUAGAUACUAAAAGCCGCCCUUCUUCUUGGGAAGGUGAGGAUUGCUGUAGUUGGAUAGGAAUUGUUUGCUGCAGCAAUAAAACCUACCUUAUUCUUGAGCUCAACCUUGAUAACCCUAUUUACUCUUCUUUGUCUCUGCGAGGCAAGAUCAAUCAUUCUCCGGUCAACUUGACUUAGUAUUACGAUUAAGUUAUUGUGGAUUAAAUAGCAUUGAUUCUACUACUUCUCAUUUGUUUUUUUUUUCAAACCUAUUUGAAGCUGUUCUAGGGAAAAAUAGAUUAAGUUCCACUGCACCCCGAUGGCUGUCGAACGCCACCAAGCUUACAGUUCAGUUUCUUGGUCACAAUUCAUUCCAGGAAGCCAUGCCUGAUGCUCUGGAAAGCAUGACCUUCCUUUCUUUUCUUGCCCUAGAACACAAUAAAUUUGCAGGACAUGUAUCAGAAACAAUAUUCACAAAGCUCUGCAACUUGAACAUUUUGAGGUUGGAUUAUAGCAACUUUAGGGGCAAUGUUAGUGACAUAAUUGACGGUAUUAGAUGUUCAUGAAGCAUUAUAGAUCCUUUCUCUUGAUGCAAAUUUUAUGGGGGUUCCUAUUCCUGAAGGAAUAGGGAAGCUGUCUAGCUUAUCUGCAAUUCUUCUGCAACACAACCGUUUUGAAUGUAUCAUCACCGAAGUUCAUUUUGCUAACCUAACCAGAUUAAAAAUAUCAGACAUUUCUUAUAAUUCAUCGAGCAUAGAUUUUAAGGAGGAUUGGGCACCUCCCUUCCAGCUCCUAUGGAUCAAGCUAAAUAAUUGUUUAUUGGGUCCUCAAUUUCCUACUUGGUUUCUAUGGCAGAGAAAAAAUAUUGGCUUGUCCAUUGCUGCAGCAGGGAUUUCAGACACCAUGCCUGAAUGGUUUGUGCGCAAAUCAUCCAACGUAGCGCUUUUGGUCUCCUCCAAUAAUCAGAUGAGAGGCAAGUUGCCACAAACUUUAUGAGAUUAUUUAAUCUUGCAAAUCGUGAUUCGGUAUACUCUUUGACUGAGCUACAGGCGUUGGAUCUCAGUAGUAAUAACCUGUCUGGAAAACUACCAAAAUUUCUGCAGCAGUGCAAGAACUUGGAUGUUCCAAGUCUCAGUGAAAAUAAUUUUGAUAAAAAUAUUCCAGCAUGGUUGGACAUGGAGCUGCCAAAUUUAUGGAUUCUUCUGAUAAGGUUCAACCGUUAUUCAGGCUGCAUAAACUUAUCCUGUAAAUAUUUAUCUGGAAGAAUUCCUACAGGGAAUCAGCUCCAAACUAUAAAAUGUUGAUACAUCCAUAUAUAUUGGAAAUUGUGAACUGUUUGAAAUACCAGGAGUUGGGAAUCGCUCUUGCAAUGCUGACCAGUCUGAUCUCAAUCAAGCCAUGGGUGAUGAAGACGAGGAUGAUGAAGUGCAAUGGUUUUAUCUUUGAAUGGUAACAGGAUUCGCCAUGGGAUUAUGUGAGGUAUUUAAUCAGUUUUUAUUUGACUGCGAUGGCAUGAGUGAAUACUUAUUUCACCCUUGUUGACGGCUAACAUUACUGGAUAUGUAUGGUACCUAUGAUGAAGCUUGAUGCAGCCUAGCAUCGUCUAAAAUCGGCUCCGACAUACUAUCUGUUACUACUGCUGCUGCUGAGUGUUAAUCGUCCAAGAUGGGCUACUCAACCAGAUCAGAAUGCAAAACACAGUUUCCCACUGCAACUUCAAAUGCUAUCAAAUACAGUGUAACACCACA